GCUCCGGGCUCCAAAAACUGGGGCUUUUUCGGGCACCAACUCGUUGCUGGGCCAGAGUUGGCCAGAGUUGAGAACUGAGCAUUUCACGGGCAGGGGGCGGGGAUGCGGUCACCGACAAUCAACGGUGAAAACACCGAAGUGCCAUUUUUAAACAGCCGAGUGAGUAGUAGUAAUGCUUAGUGUUUGUGUUUUGUAAACCAGUAAAUAUAGAUGCCAAAUCCAAGCAGCAGCACUCUGAGGAAGAAAUCCAGUGCUUCCUAGCACUGUGGUCUUCAUAUGAAAUUCAGUCGAGGGUAGAGGGACCACACCGGUGUUCGAAACGAUCCAGCGGGAGAUGGCUGCAGCCGGUACGAGCGGAGCCUUGACUAACUCCUCAACAAAAUUAAAAAGCUUUAAAAUGACUACAGGGACCAGAAAGGGGAGCUGGGAUGCAGCAGUUGUCGGCCAAAAAGAGCCCCCAUUUUGACCCGCUGCAUUCCGUGAUUCCAGCCGGGUCCCUGAACGCCACAUCGGAGCUGGAGUUGAUGCAGGCCGCCAUACAGACCACUGAUCCUGAUCCUGUUGUCGGCCUUGGAGGAUGAGGUCCAGUUACCAGAAUCACUACUCUGCAGCUCACUGGUCCCGUCCUGCAGCUCAUUCAUGCCAUCCUCCUCUUAACAGACCAAAUCAAGAAAAAGGAAGUGGGAUGCUGCUGUAGAUCUGCUGCAGUAUCUGGAGAGGUCAGAGGAACGGUUCUUGGAACAGAUCAGAAGACACCAAGACCUGACCACUGCCAUGCUCCAGAAUAUCCAGGGACCAAGACCUGACCACUGCCAUGCUCCAGAAUAUCCAGGGACCAAGACCUGACCACUGCCAUGCUCCAGAAUAUCCAGGGACCAAGACCUGACCACUGCCAUGCUCCAGAACAUUCAGAAGACGGAUGAAAAUUCAAACACCUUGGUUGGACUGAUGGGACGUACGGUGUCAGUGCUGGAGCAACUGUCCCAGAAAUAAACUGCAUUGUCCACUACUUCUGCCUUUUCUAGAAAAAAAAAUCUUUUUUUGUAAAUUCUUUUCCUUCUUAGCUAUUUAAGUUCACUUGUAUUUUACUCUUGCACUUUGGGUGAAUAAAAAUAUAUUUGUGAU
ensembl:lncRNA